GGAGGAGACAAAUAAAGAUGCAGUCAUGAUUGCUGCCGCAAAGUUGGUUGCAAGUGAUACAGUUUCUAAGGAGUAUCUUGGUCCAGAAAUUAUUUCUCAUUUUCUGAUACAUGGGACAAGUGUAGCAGAUAUUGUUAAGCAUUUCAUUGCCAUUUUGAAAAAGAAGGAUGGAAAUAUCCCAGUUAUCUUUCUUGAAGCCAUG
rnacentral:misc_RNA from 1 species